AGCAAUUUUCAUUCUUCUUGUCCAAUCCAUGUUGGUUUAUUUGGUUUUAAAUGUGCAUAUUUAUGUGAUUUCAUCUGUUUCCUUGACGAUAGUUCAAAGUAGACUAAUAUGACAUAAUAUUAUCCUAGAAUGACUUUUUUGUUAUUAUUUUGUGUCUCAUACUAGUAAAGAUAAUUCAGUUAUCUUUACUUGUGGUGUCAGAUAUUCACAAUUCAUCAUUCAUAGAAGUAAGACAUUGUGUCUGCCAAAGACUAUCAAAACUUAAUAGUUCAACUGAGGAAAAGCCAUCAACGAGAUAUGUGCAUAGAAAUAUAUAUAGGAAAAUCCACUGGCAAUGUGAUAUUACCAUCUAAACUAGAAGAAUGUCUCAAAUUCUCCAUGAAAGGAUAAACCAAGAAGUGAUCCCUUGGUGCCAUGCAAUACUCAAUCACUUUUAGUAAGUUCCUGGGGACAACCACACUUAUAACUUAAGCUUCUCAUUUGAAAGCCAUAUCAUGUCCAUGAUUCUCUACUUUAGCCAAUCGUUUGAUGGCAAUCACUUUAUUGUCUUGGCCUGGAAGAACUCCUCUGUAAACCUUAGUGAAAGAGCCCUUUCCAAGAUUUUUUAACUCAAAUUUCUUGUUGCAAUCAUGAGAUGAUGCAAUGAGAAUUAUUGUGCCGACUCAAGAUCUGGCUUAGAGCAUGCUCAUCUUAAAUUUAGUUUAUGUUUAUCAUGUUCUUAGUUGGAAAAAAGCCUUUCUUUGUGGAAUUCCACUACAACAGAUGGAAAUUAUUUCGUGGUGAAAAUUUCAAUACGGUAAACAUGCAUGAAAAAAAAAAUUUACCCUAAUCCAAACUAACCCGGAACAUGAAAAAACAAAUCACUCCGGCAAGGCAUUCUUCGCAAGAUUAGAGCACACAUAGCAACAAGUAGAACUAUUGCUCCACCAAUACUUCCGAGAACCACCUUUGUGGUGGAUUUUCUUGAUCCACCUGUUAAUAAAUGUUAAAUAUGAAAUGCAAGCAGGUGUUUUUCAAUCCGAAUGUUAGGUUCCAUAUAGAUUGUCAUGUAGGUUUCUGUAUUACUUGUAUUGUUGAUGUUUUCUUUUCAUGACAUUAAGUGUGAACCACAAUUUAAGUGGUUGACGGUAUAUCUAGAACCACAUGAUUACACUUAUUAUGUUACUUGAAGGAGUGCAUAAAAUUCCUUAUAAAAUGUAAUAUGGGGAUUGUAUAGAGGUUGUGUCAACUAAUUCGGAUUGGAGGGAUUAUUAUAGUUCAGGUAGGCCAUACUUUUAUAGGGACAAUAGUUGUUCACGUAUUUCACCACUAAGAUUGUUCUAUGCCAGAUUGUUACAAAACACAAAACGUAGAUCAUCACAUAAUUGAGUUCAAAUGGUCUUAUUCGCUUAUUAAAAUGAAUACAAGGCUUGCAAUGACAACAAUAAUAUUCAAUUAGUUUUCUGCUUAUAACAGCAUGGAAAGGAAAACUUACAUGGAAUUCAAAGAUGUAAUAUUUGACAAAGAGAUUAGAAUAUUUCCACUUAGAAGAUUUUGGCCCAGAUCCCUAUUGAAGUUACCACACCCUUAUGUUUGUUAGUGUACCGUAAUACUAAGAGAUAACACAAGUCAGUCUGGCUUAUAGAUUUUGCUGUUCUGAAAGGCGGCCAAGAGAAUCGGAUAUUGAGCCAUUGAAUUGAUUAUUUUCAAGUUUAAAAUUUGUCAGACUUGAAAGAUUCCCAAUCUCCUAUGGUAUUUCUUCAGUUAUAUUGUUAUCAUCUAAAACCUGAAAUGAAGAUAUGUGACAAUAACGAUAGCUGAACCAUUUUUAAUGGAUAUCUAUCUGUACAUCAUUUUCAUGAGGAACAAAUCAUAGAUUUCAUAACUAAUUAAUGCUUUAUCUUACAGCCAUUAUAGUGUUGUCAACUUCGCAAUGCUGGGCGAGAAGACUUCACGUAACCCUACGAGCUCAAGCUUCUACAAAUAAAGAAACGAGAAGUUAAUUAAGCCAAUAGUCUUGUGAAUACAUAGAUUGCUGAUCCAGGGUCCUCCUGCCGAUUCCAAUGCUGACUUGAAUCCUGUUAGGAGUUGAUCAAGAUAAUACACGUGUUGUGAUGCAAUCGAGAGAACGUGCUAUGUACUGCUGUACAUACACCAAUAAUGCAUUCACUUUCACACUUCUCUGGUCAGCUCAUAUGUGGUUAUCGAAGCAGGAAAAUUUCUUGAGAAGGACUCUAAUUGCUAUGGACCAAGAGAUUUCAGAUGCUUAUUACUGUUGUAUAUGUUGCCGUUGACAUUGGACUUGCUAUUCCUGUAAGAGGUACAUUGGAAUCGCUGUUCAUCUAGGGGAGUCAGUGCCAAAUCUACGUUGGAAUAAUGCAAUGUUAAUGAUUGGAGAUGGAUUGACUCCUACCAAAGACUGAUCCCAAGCAGAACUACAACCUGUCCAUGGAUUACCUGCAGGCCUGCAUUCUAAGUUUCUAACCAACAACAUUGGGCAGUGAGCGGGAGGGGCGACCAGCGACCAGCGAACGUGUGCGUGGUGCAACCGCACAAGAGGUGACGGGGAGCCGACGGAGACUGCCAGUGGUGAGCAGGUGGUGGCGACCUGGAGCGGUCGGCACUAGCGGCGAGCAGGCAAUCACCGCGACGGGCGAGCGGACAGGGCGAGUAGGUGCCACGAACUGCACCUCAAUUGGAAUACAGUAAAGAAUUGAUAUGAGUAUGAUGUAUGCGUGUGGCCAUCAACUGAAAUUUUGUGUUCCGUGCGCUUGUGUUUGCACAGGGCCGGUCUUGAGAAUUCGAGGGCCCAGGGCGAAACUACAAUUCGGGGCCCCUCGGGCCCUUAAUAUAAAUGUCUAAUUGAUAAUCAUCAUAUGAAGAUAAUUUGUGUCAAAGAAAAUAAUUAAGUGCGUCCAAAAUGAUUGUACAUAUCACAUAAUGUAUUACCUAUUACCUUCAAAAAAAAUCUCCUAACAUUAUGAGAUGCAAAAUCA